rnacentral:tRNA from 9 species
GAGGGUUCAAGUCCCUCUAUCCCCA